rnacentral:rRNA from 1 species
GUGUCAGCAGCCGCGGUAAUACGUAGGUGGCAAGCGUUGUCCGGAAUUAUUGGGCGUAAAGCGCGCGCAGGCGGGAUAUCAAGUCUAUCUUAAAAGUUCGGGGCUCAACCCCGUGAUGGGAUGGAAACUGGUAUUCUUGAGUGUCGGAGAGGAAAGUGGAAUUCCCAGUGUAGCGGUGAAAUGCGUAGAUAUUGGGAGGAACACCAGUGGCGAAGGCGACUUUCUGGACGAUGUCUGACGCUGAGGCGCGAAAGCCAGGGGAGUGAACGGGAUUAGAUACCCCGGUAAUCCUGGCCGUAAACGAUGGGUACUAGGUGUAGAGGGUAUCGACCCCUUCUGUGCCGGAGUUAACGCAAUAAGUACCCCGCCUGGGGAGUACGGCCGCAAGGUUGAA